rnacentral:lncRNA from 1 species
UUAGGAUUAAGAUUUUGGAUUGAUUUAAGAUUUGGUUAAUGUUAGGAUUUGAUUAGGAUUUUUUUAGGAUUUUUUUAGAGUUUGGUUAGGGCUUAUUUAAGAUUUGUCUAGGAUUUGACUAAGAUUUUAUUAGAGUUUGUUUAGGAUUUGACUAAAAUUUGAUUAGGAUUUGUCUAGAAUUUGAUUAGGGCUUAUUUAGGAUUUGACUAGGAUUUUAUUAGCAUUUAAUUAGGAUGUGUUUAGCAUUUUAUUAAGGCUUAUUUAAUAAUUGACUAAGAUUUGACAAAGAUUUGAUUAAGAUUUAAGU